CCCUGAAUGCAAUAAUAAAAAAACAGAAAGAGAGUUUCUCUCCAAAAAAUUGGAAUGGGAUACAUGAGAAUUAAUACCUAAUUAUGUCUUUCUCAGAAAAAAUAUUUAAAUUAUGUCGUUUUCACAUUUAAGCAGAAUUUUUAAAUUGGAAUCAAAUGAAAAUAAAAUCUAAAAAAAAUAAGUAAUUGCCAACUAGGCAUCCACGUUGGAAAUCUAGCAUUCAAUGCGUCGAGGGCAAACUCUUUCUGUCUAUUCCACUCCCAAUACCCAAUUUCUCCUCUGCACUCUGCGCUGCGCUGCUAGGUUCCUCUAUUUCCAGUUUCCACUUCGAUCUUGGAGAAGAUGAGCAGAAUGGUGAACAAGAAUAAGAUAGCCUACAUGCAAGACGACGCUAAGCUCUCUAUCCUCACCACUCAUUACUUCUUGUCCUUUGCUGAGUCUCACUCGCUCUCCGCCUCUAUCUCUACCAUUUUGGCCACUUGUCUAAGCUCCGGGUUAUGUUAGAGGAGAUGAAGCUAGGAUGCUUAGAAGGCAACUUCCUUGGAAACUUGCAAAGAUUGGUAAAUUGAGCUGACACUGCUGUUUGUUUCCUCAAACAAUAUGGAUAUAUGGAUUUUAAAAGUUAUUUAUUUGAGAAUGUGGGUAAACAAGAAUUUCCGAAGACUUAAAUAGGGAAAAAUUGAUGCCAUUGUUCUAGACGAUGGAAUGCAGGUAUCAAACUUGUUAUCCCUCCAUUACUGUGAUGGAGACUUCAUUUUGUUGCUUGUAUGACAUACCAUCAAAUGGCUGGGCUACAUAUGGAUAGCUACUUCCUUGGAAGUAGGGGGCUGGUUCUGCAUCACCAUUGGCAUCUUAAUCAUAUGUUGAAAAUGGCUUUUCUUUUCAGGUAAAGUAUUGUUCCUUAAUCAGUUAGAAGAAAGUGUAUACCAACAAACUCUUUGACUUCAUUUUGUGGUUACGAUACUAAUAAUAUUCCACUUAUAGUUGGGAACACAAGUCAUUUACUGUCCAUCAAUUAAUUCUUAGUUGUUUCUAAGGAUACUUUUAUGUCCGAAGCAGUGAAACCAUGAGGCAAAUAUAUUUUGCUUAUAAAGGUAUGCUGAUAAUCAUAUUCUUUUGCAUGGAAGAUAGCACCAGAGCUUCCACUGUGACCUUGAAAUUGUAAUGGUUAAUGGGCUAUCACCAUGGGGAAACUAUCAAUUAAUCCCACUUGGACAUUAAGGGAACCACUGGCAGCCCUUAGAAGAGCAGAUUUUGCUGUAGUUCAUCUUUCAAACUUGGUAUAUGAAACUGAUCUUCUCUGAUCUAUAUAUGUUUUAUCGUUUCACUAGAAAUUCUGCAGUUAUAAUUUUAUCUUCUCAAGUCAUGCGGCUGGUGCUAUUUUUUUUCUAUGUGAGUGUAUUUGGGUAUGAUGGCACUUUGAGAUGACAUUGAUUUAAAGCUUCAUGAAGGUUUCAGAACAAAGCCCCAAAGAUAUUGAGCUAAUGAUGCUAAAAGUUAAAUAAGCUCUUCCUGUAUUUUCACUAGAAUGUCUCCAUCAUAGGUCUUUGAAGUAGGAAAUAUCGACUUCAAAAUACGUCUGGAUGUUGUACAGGACACAAUUGUUGUAUGUUUUUCUGCAAUUGGUUCAGCAAAUGCUUUUGUGCUGGGAAUUGAGAAGCUA